CUGUGGCGUAAGUCACAGAUGUGGCUCAGAUCUUGUAUGGCUGUGUCUGUGGCUGUUGCGUAGGCUGAUGGCUGCAGCUCUGAUUUGACCUCUAGCCUGGAAACUUCCUUAUGCUGCAGGUGCAGCCAUAAAAAGAAAAACAAAAACAAAAAACCCCACAAAAAACUUCUGCCUUUACAAAAUCACGGUGAUAUGCUGUCACCUAAUCACAUUUCUGCUCUAUUCUAACCUUAUGGAAUGUUGGGAAGGUGUCAAGAGAGGAACAGCAGAGAAAAGGGAAAUUUAUUUGAGAUCAAACACUUUGAAACCACUACAUACUGUUUCUGUCCUAAGAAUUCGUAGGUAACAUACUCAAUAAUUCAUAUUUCUUCACAUGUCAUUUCUGUCAUGGAGUCUAGAAGAAACUUGGAAUCUGGAACUAAAUGUUGAUCUUUAGUGGAUAACUCUUUCAAGAUUCAGUUCUCUUUUUUAUAAAAGGGCCAUUAUACUAUACACCAAGCUACUCCACAGGUCUACUGAGAGAAGCAAAUGUAACAGAUAUGAAUCGAUAAUUAUAGUUCUGUCAGUGGACAUAUAAUUUCUAAAGGUCACAUCUCUGUAUUAGCAUAUUUGUAAAUAGCAGUCAAAAGAUGCAUGCUCAUUGUCCAAAAUACAAAAUUUUUACAAAAACUUAUUUUAGUGAUUUACUCCUCACCUGAGAAUGAUAAUGUUACAGCAAAUUUAGUAAUUAAAGAGACAUGUUCAUACUAUUUUAUUUUUGUAUCAUAUUUUGACUUCUAAGGUACAGGUUAAUUUGUGUGAACUCAGUAGAUAAUGGUAAUGUUCUUGAAAAUAUAUGCUUGAGGCUUUGGUUUGUCUUUGCUCUUGUUGUUUUUGCUGUUUUGGUUAAACAUGUAAAUCUAGCCUGGUAGCAUACUGGAAAUUACAUUUGCAAGAAAUAGAAUCCAUUUUGUAUUCUUAAAAUAUGUUUAAGCAUAGAUUAUUUCAUUUGGGGAAGUAAUCUUUACAAAGUUAUUUACAAAUAUGUGUUCUGGUAAUUUCCAAAUAUAUUUGGUCGUAUAUUUAAAUGCAUAAUUGUGUCAGAAUGUGGCAGUUGCACAUACUAAAAGCUAAUUCACUCUCAGAAAGUCUUGUUUAUACAACUGUGUGUGGACUACAGGGACAACAAAUGAAUAAGAAGGAAUCCUGUCUUGUUCUGAAUCAGCACGAAGUGUUUUGGAAAUAAGUUUCUACAAUACUUCUUAUUAUAAACAUGAUAUACCAUAUCUUUAAAAAAACUACUUCAUUAUUUUUUCUAUUGUAUUUUUCUGUUUAUUUUUAUAGGUUAAACACAUAUAUUGAUUUUCCCUAUUAAAUAAACUGUUGUAAAUCAAAUUCCUUGAGAAUUCUCAAACUGCAAUCUGAAGCCAUCGUAACUAUGUAGUCUGUUCUGUUCAAUCUAUUCAUUUGAACGAUUACAUGGUUUAUGCAUAUUUGUGAGCAACCUGUGAGCCUAUUUCUUUUUGGAAUGAGCCAGUGUGGAUCACGUUAGGGCAGGACUCUUAAUUCCUUGAUUUGCAUUUAACAUCAUAAUUUCCCUUAUAGAAAUAAAACAGUGCAUUUCCCCCACUUACAGCAGAGUGAAAAGGAGAAAAAAAGCUGAAUUUCUGAGACUGAGAUGUAAUAUUACAAAUAUAAUCAUCAAAACAAUCACUCCUUUGUCAGUUUGAGACUAAAUUACAUUAGAGCCUGAUUUUUUAAACCCUUGAUACAAAAAAGAGAAACCAAGUAAAUCUGUGUAACUCUGUGUAAGGGUAAAUAGGAUACCUUUUUAGAAACUCUCUUGCAUAUACAUAUAGAAGAGCCCUAACCACUAAUAACAGACCCAGAUUCAAAGUAUAAAUAUCUAACUUCUCUCUCCUGCACCAGGAGUUCUCAAGUUCAUGUCUCAGAAACUCCAGAUUAAUCCUGAAAUGAGAAAAGUCUAGAAAUUCAGAGAUUUGCCUGGUCCUUCAACGGACAAAUAUAUAUUCCCUCCACUCCACAUUUUGAUAUUUAUGUCCUUGUGUGCACUUACUUGUCUAGUUUGGGGUUCUUUCCACUACUUAUUUUCUAUAAUUCUUCUUUUUUUAAGGGGAGAUUGUCUUUUUUUUUUUUUUCAAAAUAAGACUGCAAUUUCAUAUUUUUUAAAUGCUGAGUACAUUCUCAUUUUAUUUAUCCUGAGAAGAGAUAACUACUUCAGAAAAGUCUGCUUGCCAGUUAGAGGAGGAGAGGAAAAAAGGAGGGAGGGAGGAAGAAAGGGAGAGAAGGAGGAAGGGACCUAAGGAAAAGAAUGCUUAAGUCCCUUUAAGAGCUUCUGAAUUCAUCUCGGAUGAAAAAUUAGCAUAUUCUUGAACGCAGAUCUGAUGUUCUCUUUCAGUCUAAUCUUUUUAUGGAAACAAAUGCCUGAAGCUUAUUGUUUAUUUUCUCAACUGUAAGAUAAGGGGGAUAAUGUUGAUUGUAUCUACUUAGUAUUUUUCAAUGUGAGUCACUUUCUGAGAGAAAUGAUAAAUUUUCUAAUAUUCUUAAUUCUAAAAUCUACCACAAAGGACAUUUGUUACAACUUAAGAAAAAGCAUACUGAGCCCCCCCUCCCAAAUGGGGGGAACAAGGGAGGAGUCAAGGAAGUAGCUGUUUUGGGGUUAUAUGUUUUUAGUUUUUCCUUGUUUUUAUCUUAUGCUUUCAAAAUUGGAGCAUUUUCAUGUGUAAGAAAAUAGUUAUCGAAGUCCAGGGACCACAGGUAAUUUAAAAAAAAUUCCCAUGUAACUAGCUGUGUGAUUUGGGCAAGUCAUUUAAUUUCUCUGGGCUUCAAGUUUUCAUUUGUUAAAAUAAGAUAUUAGCAUGAGCUGUAAGGCAGUGUUACUUUCAUUUUUAAAUACUAUGCUUUUUGAAAAUAAUCAUGAUGACUGUGAUGAAACAGUGAUAUGUGUAUGUGUGUGCACACAUGUGGCUUUUAAAAUUGAGAUAUAAUUCAUACACCAUAAAAUUCACUUGUAAAGUGAACAGUUCAGUGGGUAUUAGCAUAUUAUCAAGACGGUACAACCGUCACUACUAUACAAACCAUUUUUGAGUAUUUUCAUCACUCAAAAAGCAGCCUUAUACCCAUUAUGUUUUAUUCUUUGUUGUUGUUGUUGUUGUUGUUGUCUUUUUGCCAUUUCUUGGGCCGCUCCCGCGGCAUAUGGAGGUUCCCAGGCUAGGGGUCGAAUCGAAGCUGUAGCCACCGGCCUACGCCAGAGCCACAGCAACAUAGGAUCAGAGCCACAUCUGCGACCUACACCACAGCUCACGGCAAUGCCGGGUCCUUAACCCACUGAGCAAGGCCAGGGACCGAACCCGCAACCUCAUCAUUCCUAGUCGGAUUCGUUAACCACUGUGCCACGACGGGAAUUCCAGUGUUUUAUUCUUAUUUGCAGUUGAAUAAUAUUUGGCUAUGUGAAUAUACCACAUUUUAACUAUUUAUCACUUGAUGGAUAUUUGAGUUGUUUCCACAUUUUGGCUGUUAUGAAUAAAGCUGCUGUAAACAUUCAUGAAACGUUUUCUUAUGUAAACAUAUAUUUUCAUUUAUCUUGAGUGUAUACCUAAGGAUGGAAUUGCUUAUCAUAUGGUUAACUCUAUAUUUAAUAUUUUGAGAACAUGCCAGACUGUUUUCCAAAGCAACUGCACAAUUUACAAUCUGAUCAGCAAUUUAUGAGGGCUCCAAUUUCUCCAAAUCCUCACCAAUAUUUGUUAUUGUCUGUCUUUUUUAGUAUAUUGAUAUCAAAGCUAGACAAAGUAAUAUAAAUAAAACUAUAGACCAUUCAUUUCUUAUAAAUAUAAAUGCAAAAAUUCUAAACAAAAUUUUGACAAAUAUAGGUCAGCAAUAUGUAAAAAUGAUACUACAUCACAAUUAACUAAGAUUUAGAAGGUAAUGUUGAUUUAAUGUUUGGAAAUAAUUCACUGCAAAUAAUCGCAUUAGUAAACUAAAAU
rnacentral:lncRNA from 1 species